rnacentral:rRNA from 1 species
GUUCCUGCAGAUGAAUCUGGUAAGGUCUCCGGUAGACGACCGGGUUGAUAGGCCAGGCGUGGACGCAUCGUAAGGUGUGGAGCUGACUGGUACUAAUAGACCGAGGACUUACAAAC